UGGGGAAUAUUGCACAAUGGAGGGAACUCUGAUGCAGCGACGCCGCGUGAGUGAUGAAGGAAUUCGUUUCGUAAAACUCUGUUCUAUGGGAAGAAAAGGACUGUACCAUAGGAGAAAGCUCCGGCUAAAUACGCGCCAGCAGCCGCGGUAAUACGUAUGGAGCGAGCGUUGUCCGGAAUUAUUGGGCGUAAAGGGUGCGCAGGCGGCUUUACAAGUUGGAUGUGAAAUAUUGUGGCUCAACCACAAACGUGCAUCCAAAACUGCAAAGCUUGAGUUAAGGAGAGGUAAGUGGAAUUCCUGGUGUAGCGGUGGAAUGCGUAGAUAUCAGGAGGAAUACCGGUGGCGAAGGCGACUUACUGGACUUAAACUGACGCUCAGGCACGAAAGCGUGGGGAGCAAACAGG
rnacentral:rRNA from 1 species